rnacentral:lncRNA from 1 species
GCAAUAUCAAAUCUCGACGCUGUCCUCGAGCUGUCACCACACCUUAGCUUCGAAUCAGCACUUGCCUGAUGCAACCAGAAAGAAGUUGCCCUCCUUGAACAAUCCUCGGCAAUCAGUUUCUCUUCGUUUGGUGGGAGCCAUAUCUUUGAAAGAGAGAAGCUUUCCUCAUUGUGUGCAUUAGCACUUGGACCAGCACUUCCACCACUACAUAUGGAUUCUGACUUUCUUGGUGGAUCAAAGUCCUU